AAAAAAACAGUCGGUUUUGAAAAAAAAAAAAAAUUCAGUCGGUUUUGAAAAAUUGUUCUUGGUUGAUACGUCGUCACUGCAAAUUGCCGUCCCCAGGUUAAGCCUCGAGGAAAGCUGAAGCUGAACGUCGCUGAAAGGUUUUUGUAAGGUGAUAUGGGAGAUCAAAUGAACCAAAGUCCUUCCAGUAGGAACCUGGAUACCAAUUCUCAAUUUGCAUAUUAUUGCAUGACGUUCUCUCACAGUCUAACUGGUGAUAUGUCUUGCCAUGAUUUCCUGAGAAGAGAAGAACUGCUAAAGGAGCAUGAGCAUCAAUGACCCUUCUGUAACAACAGAACACUUUUUCUAUGAGACCGAUUUGCAGCACUCAUUGAGCCAUUCUAGCAGCAGGAUCCUUCGACGGUCGAAGGACAGGAACCACUCCUAUACAUGUCAAGCUCUCGCUCUCGCUCUCGAUCAAUUAAUUCAUGCCUCCUCUGCUCUCGAAGAAGAAGCCCCAAGUCCUCGCCACUAAAGCCCUAAUUCUGAAGCUCAACAACCGACCACUCCCCAAACCGACAGCACGCACUAAAAUUAGCCCAAAAUCAAGAGAUGGAAGCAGAAAGGAGCAAUCUUUUCAUGAUGCCCCCACCGAAAUCGACGAUCGAUUCCGCCAUUAGAGAGCUUGAAAAGUGAGUGCUGAGUAAAGAGAGGAGAAAGUGGAGGAGAGUGACUAAGAGAACGAUGAUCCAGAUGAAAUUUUUUUCUAAAUUCCUCUGCCUACCCUCGCGUGAGGAGGCGGAACAAGCGUUGUUCCGCCUUCUUACGAGGAAUUGUUAACCCUUCUUUUGACGGGUUAAAUGUGUUUUUGGGGUCACGUGAGGGUUUGUUAACCCUUUGCUUUUUUUUCCUGUUUGGCAGGCUAAUGAGGGAUUAAACUACCUUAACCCCUCAUUUAGCCCCUUGCCAAACGCAGCCUAAGUGAAAUUACUUUUUUGGGUGUGGAACCACUGUCAACUACCUUAUCCUUCAAAUUUAGGAUGUGAGAGAGAUUUUUAAGGAAACAAACUACACCAACUGCUUGGGAACAACGAAGCUGUUGGCCAUUUUUAAAUCGUAGGAGAUCAAGUUGCACUUUAUGGAGGCAAACUGAUGUCGGAAAAGGGUUGUUUAAAUAUCAGUCCCACAAAUCUUACAUAUUUUCAAAUUAGUCCCCCAGAUUAUUGAAAUUCCUAUUAGGUCCCUCAAAUCAUUCAAUCUCUUACAAUUAGGUUCCACUUCGAUUUAACAUGUUCUUGCUUAAUUGGGGUUGGGUUAGGUGUUUAUCCCACAUGCUAAUUACUAAAGCGCACUUAGGUGUGUAUUUCCCCCACAAAAUCCUCAUUUCCCUUGUUCCCCUCUAUGACUCUAUUCAAUGUUCUUGUGAUCGAAAAGGGAAAUAAAAAUUCGCUACUUCCUCCUUAUUUCCCCUACUGAUCUCUCCCCCAAAUAAUUGAAAGUUUUCCCUUUUAGCAUUUUUCUUCAUAAUCUUAGUAAGGAAAAUGAGGAUUUUAUGGGGGAAAUACACCUAAGGGCACUUUAGUAAUUAGCAUGUGAGAUAAUACCUAACCCAAUCCUAAUUAAACAAUACGUGUUAAGUCAAACAGAGGGACCUAACUGUAAGAGAUUAGAUGAUUUGAGCGACCUAAUAGGAAUCUCCAUGAUUUGGGGGACUAAUUUAAAAAAAAUUAAAAAAUUGAAAUAACCAAAAAAAAGAUGGAAAAAUACUCGGAUAGCUGGGGUUGUUGAGAAGGUUGCUUAGCAAGAGGCUGCUGGCUGCAGCAGAGGGUAGUUGGGCACUGCU